rnacentral:rRNA from 1 species
GAGUUUGUGGCUCAGGAUAAACGCUGGCGGCGUGCUUCAGGCAUGCAAGUCAAACGGACUACAGGACUUCGGUUCUGUAGUUAGUGGCGGACGGGUGAGUAACACGUGAGCAACCUGCCCGGAAGUGGGGAAUAACCCACCGAAAGGUGAGCUAAUUCCGCAUGUGAUGGCCUUUCCCUGGAGGGGUCAUUAAAGGCGAAAGUCGCUUCCGGAGGGGCUUGCGGCCGAUUAGCUUGUUGGUGGGGUAACGGCCUACCAAGGCGACGAUCGGUAGCUGGUCUGAGAGGACGGACAGCCACACGGGGACUGAGAUACGGCCCCGACUCCUACGGGAGGCAGCAGCUAGGAAUCUUGGGAAUGGGCGAAAGCCUGACCCAGCAACGCCGCGUGGGCGAUGAAGGCCUUGGGUCGUAAGCCUUUGCAAGGACGAUGAUGACGGUACCUUGCGAAUAAGCCACGGCUAACUACGU